rnacentral:rRNA from 1 species
CGGACGGGUGAGUAACACGUGGAUAACCUACCUAUAAGACUGGGAUAACUUCGGGAAACCGGAGCUAAUACCGGAUAAUAUUUUGAACCGCAUGGUUCAAAAGUGAAAGACGGUCUUGCUGUCACUUAUAGAUGGAUCCGCGCUGCAUUAGCUAGUUGGUAAGGUAACGGCUUACCAAGGCAACGAUGCAUAGCCGACCUGAGAGGGUGAUCGGCCACACUGGAACUGAGACACGGUCCAGACUCCUACGGGAGGCAGCAGUAGGGAAUCUUCCGCAAUGGGCGAAAGCCUGACGGAGCAACGCCGCGUGAGUGAUGAAGGUCUUCGGAUCGUAAAACUCUGUUAUUAGGGAAGAACAUAUGUGUAAGUAACUGUGCACAUCUUGACGGUACCUAAUCAGAAAGCCACGGCUAACUACGUGCCAGCAGCCGCGGUAAUACGUAGGUGGCAAGCGUUACCCGGAAUUAUUGGGCGUAAAGCGCGCGUAGGCGGUUUUUUAAGUCUGAUGUGAAAGCCCACGGCUCAACCGUGGAGGGUCAUUGGAAACUGGAAAACUUGAGUGCAGAAGAGGAAAGUGGAAUUCCAUGUGUAGCGGUGAAAUGCGCAGAGAUAUGGAGGAACACCAGUGGCGAAGGCGACUUUCUGGUCUGUAACUGACGCUGAUGUGCGAAAGCGUGGGGAUCAAACAGGAUUAGAUACCCCUGGUAGUCCACGCCGUAAACGAUGAGUGCUAAGUGUUAGGGGGUUUCCGCCCCUUAGUGCUGCAGCUAACGCAUUAAGCACUCCGCCUGGGGAGUACGACCGCAAGGUG